AGAGAAGUUGUUGAAGUGAUCACGAGGAUUAACUGUGGGAUGGGCCUUCGGGGGGAUCGCGUGCCACAGGUGUAAAAUGUUAUGUCGUUGUGUUCUUCGCUCCUGGCAACCGAAGACGAGGCAGUGCUAAUAAAUACUGUACUUUGGUGCCGGAGGAAAUGCGCCGUGUUCUUGUUCUUUUCUCGAGGAGGCAUCUUUUGACAGGCUGCCCGGCGAGCUUUCACUGCAGCUUCCUUUUUUAAACCGCGAGCUUCUGCAAGCUGAUGAGACAGGUGAGGUGCUGAUGCAUGCAGUGGCUGGCAGUCUCCACCUGCUGCGCCUGCAGCAAUGAAAGUCGGGGGAAGAUAUAAAACAUUGGAAUGUGUGUGAUUGGACAACUUCACAGUAAAAAAAAAAAGGGUAAUCGUACAGCCACACGAUAUUCAUAUUUCUGAUGAUGUUCACAGUUUUGCCGCUUCCGUCUCCUUUGAGAUCCGAACGUUGAGCCCCUGAAGCUGCCCUUUGCCGCCGCGGCCGUCUCCAAUUGAAUCCUCUCAGCCAGAGCAGAGAUUUGACCCGGCGUACCUCUGCUGAUAACAUCUGCACUUCUGCACAAUCUGAACUUUCCCGUAUUUGUUCUCCGACCAGCUGCAUCUUGCAGCGGAACAGGGCCCCCGAUACGUAUCUCAGAUACGUUUCACACACACCUUUGUGCCGACGGACCGAACAAAAGUCACCACAAUGGUGCAGCUGCAGGGGGAAUGCAUGUGCACUGGAACCGUCCCGCGCUGACCUCCGGCCUCGGCCAUGAGUACAACAGAGUCAGCGCUCUGAGCUAAAUACAGUCGAUUCUAGUGCUUGAAUGCCGAGAAAGGAGCAGGAACAGGAUGUCCCCAAUCGAAACGAGGAGAAAGAAUGCGUAGACUCAAGACGGACGGGCAGUUUCCCAUGACACAAUCAUCGCUACUUCCUGGAGCUGCGAGGUUUCGUACACAAACAGGUCGUGUGGAAUGUGGACCCCGGCAGGUCGGCCGAUGGACCUGAGGGUGAGAGCUGGUGUAACAGCUACGUGUCCAGCAGGCAACCAUUAACCCCGCGUCCCGUCCGCCCACAGACUCUGGCAAACACGCGUGUGUGUAAAACGCGAUGCCUUCAUCCCCUCUCACAACCUGACUUGAGUGACCUUUGACCUUGCUCGCGGACGAACCCCUCCCUCUGGGCCAGAGCAAGACUGUGAUGCUGUUGCACUUGAGAUAUGGAUGACCAAGCAGGAUUUGUUGUAUCUCCGUCUUUGUGGGUCACUAUAAAUGAUGGUCCUGCAGCUUUUUUGUUACUGGUAGAUUUAAACAGAUCGCAUUUCUCUAAAUAACAAUAAGGAGGAAGAACACUUCGACUGGGGAGAUAAUAAACAAGUUGUAGCUCGUCAAUGUAAAUGUAAAUUGUGUUCCAUAUAUUUUACAUUUAAAACACGCUGAUUCCGCUUCUGUUUCAGUGUGGUAAUACUUUUCAUACAUCCUCUCCUGUUUCAGCCCUAAUUAUUUUACCAUCCCACUUCCUACAUCGUUGCCUCGUUGCAUUUCUCAGGCUCUCUCUUUUUAUUGAAGUAAAGCUGUAAUUUGCCACAUCUCUCAUCGAGAGGUGGUUCAGAAGUACCUUAGCUUACAACUCUUUCAUUUGCGUUUUUAUCAUCCUGGAUUCAAUUCUCGGAGGAGGGAAUUAUUUCGGGUCCCUGCUGCCCUGAAGGCUGGAUGUGUUUCACGGAACAGGAGAGACUUUGUAUUUUUUCUUUUUUUACCACAUAUCCAUGCAACAUCUGUUAUAACAAUGCUAUUCUGCAGCAUACGUAAGCAAAUAUCUUCAUUCAAACAGUCCACUUUGGACAUUUACCAUACCAGUGAGCAAAGAGCACACAUGCAAAAGAGGAACAUGAGGUCUGGAGAGUAUGUAAAUGUCAGUAAUAAUGCAAAAGAAACACGGCUACAGAGUUUCAUGAAAUAUAGUUGGAAGAAUAUAGAAGAACAUUUAAUGUAUUUAAUAAGUUUAGAAGAGAGGCAAGAAACGGUCACCGACAUGUUAACUCAAGUCCAUCAGAUGCAGACGCAUAUUUAUAAUCAUAAAAUCUGUCCAGACCAAAGAACAGAAGACAAAACCUCUCUGAAUUAUGGAGAGGGAUUUGUUUGAUAAUGUGAAGGCUGGGAUAUGAGUCAUGAAUCCAAACAUUACAUUUCUGUCGUCUAUAUACUUAUUGUUAUGUGCAGGACUUUCAUAUUUUCGCUUUCAGACAACAGUUACAAGCAUAACUUUGAGCUAUUUCCAUUCAUUUUGGGAAUGGAUUUAUUGUACUUUUAGCUUACAGUUGCUAUUUUUUUACACCCGUCAUCACUAAGAAAUGCAUUGAAAUUGGGUUGUCUACAUUACAAGAUGCUGUACCGCAC
ensembl:lncRNA